ACCUGACUGUCUCAGUUGGUAGAGCAUGCGACUUUUGAUCUCAAGGAUGUGAGUUCAAGCCUCAUGUUGGGUG
rfam:Felis catus isolate Cinnamon breed Abyssinian chromosome B3, whole genome shotgun sequence.